GAUGAACGCUGGCGGCGUGCCUAAUACAUGCAAGUCGAGCGAACGGACGAGGAGCUUGCUCCUCUGAUGUUAGCGGCGGACGGGUGAGUAACACGUGGAUAACCUACCUAUAAGACUGGGAUAACUUCGGGAAACCGGAGCUAAUACCGGAUGAUAUAUUGAACCGCAUGGUUCAAAAGUGAAAGACGGUCUUGCUGUCACUUAUAGAUGGAUCCGCGCUGCAUUAGCUAGUUGGUAAGGUAACGGCUUACCAAGGCUACGAUGCAUAGCCGACCUGAGAGGGUGAUUGGACACAUUGGAAGUGAGACAGGGCCCAGACUCCUACGGGAGGCAGCAGUAGGGAAUCUUCCGCAAGGGGGGAAAGCCUGACGGAGCAACGCCGCGGGAGUGAUGAAGGUCUUCGGAUCGUAAAACUCUGUUAUUAGGGAAGAAGAAAUGUGUAAGUAACUGUGAACAUAUUGACGGUACCGAAUCAGAAAGCCACGGCUAACUACGUG
rnacentral:rRNA from 1 species